AUCAACGCUGGCGGCGUGCCUAACACAUGCAAGUCGAACGGGGAAAACGGGAGCAAUCCUGUGAGUACAGUGGCGUACGGGUGAGUAACACGUGACUAACCUACCCUCGAGUGGGGGAUAACCCCGGGAAACCGGGGCUAAUACCGCAUAACAUCGAGAGAUCAAAGGAGCAAUCCGCUUGAGGAGGGGGGGUCGCGGCUGAUUAGCUAGUUGGUGAGGUAACGGCUCACCAAGGCGAUGAUCGGUAGCCGGCCUGAGAGGGCGCACGGCCACACUGGAACUGAAACACGGUCCAGACUCCUACGGGAGGCAGCAGUGGGGAAUUUUGCGCAAUGGGGGAAACCCUGACGCAGCAACGCCGCGUGGAGGAUGAAGUCCCUUGGGACGUAAACUCCUUUCGACCCGGACGAUUAUGACGGUACGGGUGGAAGAAGCACCGGCUAACUUCGUGCCAGCAGCCGCGGUAAUACGAGGGGUGCAAGCGUUGUUCGGAAUUAUUGGGCGUAAAGAGCGCGUAGGCGGUGCGGUAAGUCACCUGUGAAAUCUCCUGGCUCAACUGGGAGCUUGCAGGCGAAACUGCCGUGCUGGAGUGUGGGAGAGGUGCGUGGAAUUCCCGGUGUAGCGGUGAAAAUGCGUAGAUAUCGGGAGGAACACCUGUGGCGAAAGCGGCGCGCUGGACCACAACUGACGCUGAGGCGCGAAAGCUAGGGGAGCAAACAGGAUUAGAUACCCUGGUAGUCCUAGCCCUAAACUAUGAAUGCUUGGUGUAGUGGGUACCCAAUCCCACUGUGCCGGAGCUAACGCGUUAAGCAUGCCGCCUGGGGAGUACAGUCGCAAGGCUGAAACUCAAAGGAAUUGACGGGGGCCCGCACAAGCGGUGGAGCAUGUGGUUCAAUUCGACGCAACGCGAAGAACCUUACCUGGGCUCGAACGGCUGGUCAACGGAGGCGGAAACGUUUCUACCCCGCAAGGGGGUCCAGUCGAGGUGCUGCAUGGCUGUCGUCAGCUCGUGUCGUGAGAUGCUGGGUUAAGUCCCGCAACGAGCGCAACCCUUGUCCUGUGUUGCCAUCAUUCAGUUGGGAACUCGCAGGAGACCGCCAGCGAUAAGCUGGAGGAAGGUAGGGGAUGACGUCAAGUCCUCAUGGCCUUUAUGUCCAGGGCUACACACGUGCUACAAUGGGCGGUACAAAGCGCCGCGAACCCGCGAGGGGGAGCCAAUCGCAAAAAACCGCUCUCAGUUCGGAUUGCAGGCUGCAACUCGCCUGCAUGAAGCUGGAAUCGCUAGUAAUGGCAGAUCAGCACGCUGCCGUGAAUACGUUCCCGGGCCUUGUACACACCGCCCGUCACAUCACGAAAGUGGAUUGUACUAGAAGUCUGCGCGCUGACCCGCAAGGGAGGCAGCGGCCCAAGGUAUGAUUCAUGAUUGGGGUG
rnacentral:rRNA from 1 species